CUUUGUACAUCACCUUGACCUUUGACCUUGUGACCUUUGUCAAGGUCAUUGCUCCACAAUGUCAUUGCAAAAGACCCUAUGGGUCAAGGACAUUUGGUUAAAAGUUUUGCCUAAAAAUGGCUUUAUAUAAACCAUUAAUGGGGAUUAUGUCCCUUACACAAUGGUAAAAUCAAUACAGUCAUAAUGUAACAAAGUUGCCCCUUGGAGUACCAAGCAUUUUUCACUAUGUAAAUUUUCUGUAUCUAUAACCAUUCCAAAGUUAUAGGGAAAUCAAAGACAAAUAAAAAUCUAAAAUACGACCUUGACCUUUGACCUUGACCUAAUUUUCAUUUUUUUGGACCAAGGAUCUCAAAUCAAAAGACCCUAGGUCUCUAUCACUUAUGGUUUUCCAGUUUAAAAUACAUUUCAAAAUUUCAAAUACAAAAGGGGAACUAACUCUCAUAUGGAAUCUCUAUACGGCUUCGGUCCAAAUGAAUAUCCUAAUCCUGAAGAAGUAACGAGCAAUUUGGUAAAAUAAAUUUGUCGUACUUUUUUACGGUUGCGAAGGAGUAGUGGCCACAAGAAAAACAGUGUUUGGGGAGAUAACUCUUACAACGUAAAGUAUUUUGUUACGCAGUUGUAAAUUUUUAAAGCGUAUAAACUAUACGAUAUCAUAUUCCAAAUAUCUAAGCGACAUCUUUUGAAACAUCAAUACUACGCAAGAAAAAAAUUUAGGCGGAAGAAAAAAAAAAAAAAUAAUAAUAAAAAAU
rnacentral:lncRNA from 1 species